UUUUCAAUUUCAUGAUAUUUAUUGAUUUUAAUCUUUAUUCUAUUUUGUCUUUAUUUUAUUCUUAUUUCUAUUUGUAUCUUUAUUUAUUUAUUUAUUUAUUUUUUGGGCAUGAGGAAACUGGCCGCCAUUUAUUUGGAAGGAAAAUCAACAUAAUUUUGAAAAGAGGAGAUUGUGUUUUUAGAAGGAUAGCACGUAUAUUAUUUCCAUGGGGAAUCGGUUACAAAGGGGAAGAAAAUAUGAAAGGAAAGUGGAUUUUCCUCCAGCAGAUUUGGGGGGUUCUUUGAGGGAGGCUGAUAUAUAUAUGUGAGAGAGGAAAAAGGAGAAAAGGGGGAUUCGGAGAUUGGCUUUGGGGAGUUUUUUUUUGGAGAGAUCUAGAAGAAAAUCAGAGAGCAAGAGAGAAGAAGAGCAGAACAGAAGGGACGGUUCACAGGGUUUUCGGCUAGUCUUGGGAGUAGGAGCAGCAAGCCUGAAGUCCAGCACACCUUGCUGCAGAGGAGACUUUCAGUUCCUUUGAGAAAGUUUGAGAUGCCAUUAUUGGGAGGCUUGCUCUUGACAAGUAUUGAGGUUGAUCCUGUUAUGGAUAUUUGCAUAAAGCCAC